AUUGAACGCUGGCGGAAUGCUUUACACAUGCAAGUCGAACGGCAGCACGGGGCAACCUGGUGGCGAGUGGCGAACGGGUGAGUAAUACAUCGGAACGUGCCCAAUCGUGGGGGAUAACGUAGCGAAAGUUACGCUAAUACCGCAUACGAUCUACGGAUGAAAGCGGGGGAUCGCAAGACCUCGCGCGAAUGGAGCGGCCGAUGUCAGAUUAGGUAGUUGGUGGGGUAAAGGCUCACCAAGCCGACGAUCUGUAGCUGGUCUGAGAGGACGACCAGCCACACUGGGACUGAGACACGGCCCAGACUCCUACGGGAGGCAGCAGUGGGGAAUUUUGGACAACGGGCGCAAGCCUGAUCCAGCCAUUCCGCGUGCAGGAUGAAGGCCUUCGGGUUGUAAACUGCUUUUGUACGGAGCGAAAAGGCUCUCUCUAAUACAGGGGGCUCAUGACGGUACCGUAAGAAUAAGCACCGGCUAACUACGUGCCAGCCGCCGCGGUAAAAC
rnacentral:rRNA from 1 species